UACAGAGGUCUCAAGCGUUGUUCGGAUUCAUUGGGCGUAAAGCGCGCGCAGGUGGUCUUUCAAGUCAGUGGUGAAAGCCCGGAGCUCAACUCCGGAAAUGCCAUUGAAACUGUGAGACUUGAGGACGAGAGAGGUGAGUGGAAUUCCCAGUGUAGAGGUGAAAUUCGUAGAUAUUGGGAAGAACACCGGUGGCGAAGGCGGCUCACUGGCUCGUAUCUGACGCUCAGGCGCGACAGCGUGGGGAUCAAACAGG
rnacentral:rRNA from 1 species